UCAAACCCAUAUGGCAUUUGCUUCCUGCUGAGACCUCCACACCAGGCAUCUCUUCAGGAAAGCAACCAAGACUCAAAGAGAAAUAUAUAACAUGCUCUUUCCCCCUUGUGCCCACAUACCUAAACCCUGUUCCCAAAAUCAGAGGUCCAGAGAGUCCUCUGAUGAAGAUCAGGAAAUCCUACCUCCAGUUCAGCCUGGAAGCUGAAGAAUUUCUCAUUCUGGUGGCCUCAGGAAUGAAUCACUCCUCCAUACUGGAUGCCUAAAAGCAGUACUUCUCUCUAAAUUUAUACAGAUCCACUUGAUAAAAGUCAAGUCACAGUGCUUCUACCUUCUCUGCCACCAGCAAUAAAGGGGGUGAAGUUUGGGUGCAGUUUGCAAUCCUGCAGAUCAUGCACGAGGCAGAGAUAGUCCUGCUCAGUGUCCCACUGUUCUUUUAUGCCAAAAUGUAGCAAAAACUUAUUUCAGCCAACAAAGAUGAUGUGGUUUUGAGUACACACAGGAAGCUUCUCUUUUGAAUAAGAAGUUAUUAUUUAAUUUGGUCACUCAGCAUACAUUUGCAAACUGAACAAAGACAAGCUAGAUAACAAUCAUACCAUUCUGUCAAAUGCGUUCAUGGAGAGAAGGAAAAACAAAAGUUGCACUCACAAUUUUUUCUGAAAUGAUACAAGUUUCUUUCCCUCUUCUCCCAUUUGAUGUCUGUCCUUUUGUUCUUGCCCCUGUCUAUUCUUUAUAUUAUGUUUCUACAUUAGCUGUAUGCUUUUCAGUGUAUCUUAUUGUAUUUUAGCCCAUGCAAAAUGAAUUUUAGGAUGAUGCCCCCCGAAAAGAUUUACAAAGCUUUCUCUGUGAGAGAUGGCUACUUCCAGAUGUGAGUAUAAUGCCAGUGCAGCCACCUCUGUGUUUAAAUUUUUAGAAACAUGUGGUUUCUAUUUUUGUAAAUUAUACAUGUCAGUUCAAAAGACGUGAUACAUUUUAUAUUUCUGGUCUUCGGUAAAAGUCAUUGUCCUGGUCUAUCUCCAGCCCAAGGGCAAGACAAAAUGUUCUGACUAUGUUGGGAUUUGUUCAGCUCUUCUUAAAUCUACAGCACACCAAUGGGCUAUAUACAUACAUGGUAGAGUCAAAGUUAGUCACAGUGUGAUCUUCAAGUACUGAACAUCAAAAAAACCCCCAAAAAACAACCAGUACAAACCACUCAACAAUUAAAAAAAUUAAAAAGAUGGAAUAAUAACAGGAAAAAAAAAAAGAAAGCAAAAGAAAGCAAAAGAAAGAAAAGAAAGAAAAAGAGGAGACAAGACAAAAAUCUACUCAUGGAAAAACCAAUAUGCUUUUCUAGUUGGGGUUAAAUCAUAAUACCAUGUUAAAUAGGUCAUUGCAUCAAAACCUAUUCAAAUUAGGCAUUGCUAAAGGUAAUGAUGCAUUGGAAUUAAUUACAAUUAGUGAGCAUUCAUCAUGAGAGGCUUUUUAGGAUAAAGAUAAAAGAAUUAGAAAGAGCUGAUUGUGUUUGGAAGAGGAGGACAGAGUGGAUAUUGUCUCAACUUCUGUUUGGUCCUAGAUGGAAGAAAAAGGGAUUAUGGUUUGGAUGCUGCCUCAGAGGCCUAGUUAGAAACAUCUUGUUUACCAAGAACCCUGCAAUGGUUGGAAAGUAUUUAGAACUUGAAAGGCUAUUUGGCAUAAACAUUUAUUAUAAAUCCUUAAAUUUCCUUAAAGUACUUUUUUUUUUGUCUCUAGAGAAACAAAUCAUAUUACUUUAUACUUACAUGUUUAUGAUGUUUAAGGUGAAGAGAGAUAAUGCUUGAAAAUACAUAGUAUGUGCACACAAAUACCAUCUCAAGCAGAAGAGCCGCUCAACUUGGUGAUGAACUUACUUCUUCCAAAAUUAGGUGAGAGGUGGACACAGAAACCUUGGGAUUGCUCUCAGUUUGAAAGGUGACCAUUCCUCACUACAUCUAAAACAUUCCCAUUAUAAGGAAGUGUCAGUUUCUCUGGAUCUGGAUUGAAGGCACUUGAGAAGACAGUUCAUGUUUGGACUCAGGGGUUUAUUAUUUCUUAUCAGUAAAACAGUCUCACAACCAUGAGUUUGGCAGCUUUUCAUUAGCAAGGCGCAAAAUGGCUAACUAUCUCUUGUCACAAGGUCUUUUAAGACUCAACUAUCCAAUUAAGAAAGGACACCUAGAUUAUUUUCCCUUUUAACCCAAUAACUGAUCCCUGGAAACCCGCAAUGCAGACUUUAUGUCCAAUUACAAAACAUCACCCAAACCCAUGAAGAAGAAGGAAGAAGAAGGCAAAGAAGAACAACCUGCCUCCACUCUAAAGCCUCCAUCUCUCUUCAUAUUUAUUUCUAUAUUCUAAAAUCCCAAACUACAGGUUUUCCACCCUGUGAUAUUACACACUUCUAACCAAAUACACACCCAUAAUCCCAGCACUAUCACUCAAUUCUGGAAGCCUUCUUCACAGCCUCAAGUCAAAUGCAGUGUUCUCUUAUGGGUCUGUGCCUUUAAGCACAGAAAGUUUAAAAUUCUCAGCAUCCAGGAUUCCAGCAGGAGGAAGGAUGCAGUUAUGAUGAGCACCUGGUAAUACAAGUAAGAGAAACGGCAGCAUCAAGGCAGGAUUUUGUUGUAUAUAGCCCCAACUGUCCCCAACAAAUGGUGUUUGGUGGUGCUUAUGUGCCAAUGACUCACCUCUAGUGCAGAAUUUUACCUGCUGUGGCGAUAUAGGCUUUUCAUUUAUUAUGCCUGUUGGGAUGUUUAUGCACUGCUCAUGGACAAGACACUCCAAGUACAAGCACAUAGGUAGACAGCCCAGAGAAGCUGUACCCUGGGACAUGUUAAAGUGGCUUUUUAUAAGCAUCAAGAGUAAAUGUGGUGUUGCUGGGCACGUGUCUCCUCUGGCAUGCCCAAUCCAGAACCCUUUUGCAAGCCAAAGGUAGCAGAGAAACACUCUCAGGAAAACACUUGGACCUUCCCAACCAUGCUGUGUAAUCAGAACCUCUACACACAUAUUACACUGCGUUAUUUAUUAUCCAUUCAUUCAUCUGACAUUCACAGAAUUAAAAAAGGCAGGAUAAUGUGAACAUAAAGAGGUGAGAUACAAAGAAUGACACAGAAUAUAAAGUGCUGGAAGGGACCCACAAGGAUCAUUAAGUCCAGCUCCUGAAUGAAUGGUCCAUACAGGGACCAAACCUACAACUGUGACAUCAUUAACACAGUCUAACCAGCUAAGCUGGGUGACCAUCUUUGGAUUUAAAGGUAAGAAAAAUUGUCUUCUAAAGACUAAUUUUACCUCUGUAAUCCUAGAAUUGGGGUUUGCAUGAUUGUCUACUGGCCAAAUAUAGAAUUGUGUCUGUCAGCAGCUGCAUUAUUAUGAGGAUAUUUAUUAUGGACACUGAAAAGAAUAGAAAAGUGAAUGCAAAAAAGAAUUUUGACACAACUAGAACAAACCAGUGAAGCAAUAUUUUGUCAUUUAUAUUUAGUCAUGGUAUUGCUGGCAUUUUCAAAACUUUUUUUUUUCAUAUUUUUAUCACUUAAGGCAGCAAGUUUAUUUUAAAAUUCAAUUGCUUUGGUUUUUUUAAUUUUUAAUUUUAAAAGUAUUCUUUUCCUGUUUUUCCCCCCUUUUUUCUGUUUUAUUGUUUGUACUCUUAUGUCCUACUGUGCCAUUGUUGUUUAUUAUAAAAUCAUCUAGGAUAUGUUUAUAAGAGCUAACACUCUAAAACAACUCACCUCAGAUGACUACCACAGAUAAAAACAGGAUGGCAACUAAAGAAGCUUGGCUUACUCUUUUAAUUCUUCAUUAACAAAAAAAAAAAAAAAGAUGCUUUAUUUUUGAGCUAUAAAAGUUAUGAAUUUUUGGUUCAGACAAAUGAAGUUGCAUUUUAUACAAAGGUAAACUCUUUAAAAAACCCUGUUUGAUCAAAAAUGCAUUUUUCUGUCAAUGAAAUGUGGAGUAGAAAAUUCUCAGCCACCUCACUUCUGUUUUCUAUACAUUCUCAUGGGAUUAAACAUCUUAUUUCAAAUAGAAGAAAGAGAUCUAAAAUCCCCAAAUCAUACAUUUCAACAUCCUAUCAUAUGUCAGUCAAUUUUUCUUUCAGUUUUCUUUCACUGCAAUUGGCUUCUGUGUUUCUACUUAGGCAAUCAAGACUAAGAAAUAGCCAGAAAUUCAUCAUCAACCUUUAUUCCAGGACAAAAUAGUUUUGAAUGGUCUGUAAUUCCUCACAGAUAUCUCUCUUUUCAUCAGCACUUUAGGAUCCCCUAACAAGAAACCCGUCAAUAUCAUAUCUUCUGUUUUCAGUGUUUAUUUUUUUUUUUUUUCAGUAAAAAGCCCAAACAUUCCCCAAAAUAAAAUGCAAUAUCUUUUUAACUGGGGGAAAAUAUUUUCACAGUCUUCUUCUCAGUAAUAUUCUUUUAUAUGACUUUUCUUAAACACAGUAGAAAUAAUGAAAAGAAAAUCAUAUUGAUUAUAUAUUCUUCAGGCAACUGUAACCACAGAAUAUCAUGGUAUUUGACUAUAACUUUUGAAUUACUGUCUUUGUGUGCAGUUCUGCUGAGAUUUAAUAACUAAUGGGAAUAGUGGUCAUGUACAAAGAGAUCUUUAUUUUUCCAAUUCACUUUAUAUUUCUUCCGUUCCUCUUGCUGUCUUUACUCUGUUUUUAAUAUGUGCAGUUUCAUUUUGUCAACAUUAUAGGAAUGCUAUACUUAAAGAAAUUGCCUAUUUCUUUUCUCAUAGCUGUAGGUACCAAUUUUUGUCUCAUAGACCAAAAUACUGUGGAGUAAAAAUUCUUUCUGUGGUGGUUUCAGCAAAAUGAUAUUCUGUUUUUUAUUAAUUUAAAAGUUCAAAACUUAAUGAGCUUUCAUGAUGCUACAACAACAUGAAAGGUUUGUUCACAAAAUGAAUGCAAUUGAGGAUUUAACUCUUUGCUAACAUUAAUAAAGAUGAAGCCUGUGAGACUAUGCUCUCAAAACCCCCCUUUAAUGAUAUCAGCCAUUUUAGAAAAUAAUUUUCUCCAACUAGGUGUCUCCUCUACUGGAUCUCUCAGUUAAAUUCCAGGAGCCUGUAUUGCCCAAGGAAUGACCCAAGCAUUACAGUCAGCAUAACCCCAGGAUCAUGAAGCCUUGUAGAUUGUAAAUAUGCAAUUAGCAGCUGGAGUAGAAGUAAAAGCAGAAAAUGUCAACUGUCAAGUACCUCCAUUGAAAGACACAUGAUGCCUCAAGUUAAGACAGAAAGACAAAAGCAUCUACCAACAACGAUGAUCCCAGGAUAAGGGUAUCACCAGCUGAACAUCUGAUGGAUGUCAAGGUCCCAGCACUUCUGCAUGACCAUCAUGUUGGAGCUUGGCUCAAUCUUUCUUCGUCCUUGGCACCAAUGCCCAUUUUCGUACAAAUAUAUGUGGAGUGAAAAUGAAGCCAACACCUGUAGCCACUCAUCUGCUGAGCUUUCACAGCUGCAACAUCCACAUGCCAACCUCCAGACAAGGUCUUUCUCAGGAGUGGCUGUGAGUUUGGGGCUGCCUGAUUCCCAACUGCUUCUGUUGUUUUUGGUUAAUCCAGUGUUCGUGAGUCCCCACCAUCAAAGGCAAACACUACUUAUACAUUGAUAACCUUAGUACUAGACUAUCCGAAUUCAUCAAGCUGCCUACUUUGCAAGGGGGAGAAAGGAAAGUCAUUAUUUAACUAUUUAAAGGCUACUUAAAUUAAUUCCUUCCCACCUUUCUGAAAAGAAAUCAAAAGGCUUAGCAAAAUGGAUGACACUCAGUGACAGGACCAAAACCAUAUGAAUCUUCUAUUUGACACUCACUGAAGUGUUGGCAGCCCAAGCCAGAUGAAGUUGUAUUAUAUUUAAUGCAGAUGUGUCUUUCACUUUAAAAGAAACAGCUGCUUUUAAUUUAAAUUUCAUUUACAAUGGAGUCAGAGAUUAUCAAAUGCCAUUCCCCAUUCACAUCUAGCCCCCAUAGGAAGCAGUAUUAGAUAAAAUCCAUGCAAGGUGAUAUUCUUUGCUAAUGCUGGCUACACAUGAGGGAAUGUAAGGAAAAGUAAGAAUGAUAGGCAAAGAAUCAGGACACAGUGAGAACAGGCUCUAUUUGAAGCUAAACUUUCAUAGAAUGAUAAUCAAAGACUGCACAGGCUCAUAGAGCAUAAGAUCAAAGGUCUAUCUAACUUGUGUCUAACAGAGGACCAGAGACUAUGAAAUGUCUGUGAAAAUCAGAGGUUGUGGGGAGGGAUCACUCCUCUUCCAAGUUUGAAAGACAGUUUAUGGUCCCCUUGAGACAAAGGACCAUCCAGGCCACCAUGUUUAAUCCCAUCAUUAAAUGAUGGUAGAAAUACUAUAGGAUUUGUUAUAUGAGUCAAUCUGUUAUAAAGCACUCAGAUCUGCAAUUUUAAGCUUUCUUUAAAGCACGAGGUUUUUCCCUGUGACAUGCAACUCCAGGCCUUUCCACAAAGAGCUGUUAAAAAUAAGGCUGUAAAGAAUAAUAGCUAUAUGUCAUUGCCCUUUAUAUUAUCCUACAAAAUAUCUGAUUUCUACUCUGUCAUAUUGUUGUCUUUUUUUUCUCUGAAUAUUACUUAGAUUACAAAUGUCCGUCACCAAAGACAUUUUAUUUUCUAUUCUCUCCCUAACUCACUUUUGUGAAUAAAAAAAUUACUCCCACCCCCCAAAAAAAUUCCCUGAGCAACCCCAAGGAGCCUAAAUUCCACUCCAGUUUUUUGUUCAAAAAUUAAGAAGAGAUCUGUUAAAAACUGUGACUAGUUUCUCCUGUAUACCAAAGCCAGAGACACCUGGAUCUAGGUCUUUAAAUCAUUUAAUCUGCCUUUUUUUUUUUUUUUUCAUAUAAUCAGAGAAUUAUAGAGUCACAAAAUGGCUUGAGCCAGAAGGGACCUUAAAGACCAUCCAAUUCCAAUCCCCCUGUUGUGGACAAGGACACCUUUUAGUAGACCAGGUUGCUCAAAGUUCCAUUCAGCCUGGCUUGAACAUUUUCAGGGAUGAGACAUCCACAAUUUCUCUGGGCAACCUGUUCCAUUGCCUCACCACCUCUUUCUCCAUGUUUCAGGAUGCAGUCUCAUUGUGAUUUAUAUUUACACAUUGAAAAAUAACUGCUUGUUGAAGUAAUACUUGAGGUUUACAGAGAAUUUUUUAUCAAGGCAGUCUUGGAAAUGUGUUACAGACCUUUUUGAUUGAUGAUGUAUGCUAAAUAAACUAAAUUUGCUCAUCUGAGUAAAUAUAAGAAAAAUGCUAUUUUUUUUUAGUGGGUGUUGUGUGAAAAUACAUGUAGUCCAUCAAAAAAAAGGAAAGAAAAACCAUUUGGUUUUGCCAGAAGUAAAAUACAGACAUUGUGGUAAACUGAGUCAAAGUGAAUAAAUUCACUCAUUGCUCCUACUAAUGAACACAGAA